rnacentral:lncRNA from 1 species
UGUUAUUGCACACAUGUGGUAUGCUAUUAUUGGUAUUGAGUCAAUAUAUCGUGCAUUCCAGUCACAGAAUGCAUUUUGGGAGAUUCCUCUUGCGUGGGGGAGAGGUAGUACAGCAUCUCUGCAAAGCGUCAAAAGUAAAUUCCAGUGUUUUGUAUGCAUACACAAUGUAUUUACACUAUACGUUUCUUUUUGUGUCCAUCUGUGUGUGUGUGUGUGUGUGUGUGUGUGUGUGUGUGUGUGUGUGUGUGUUUUCACAGAUUUGCUUACUGUCAAAGGAAAGACAUGCAGAGGGACAGACGGAUGGACAGAUGGUGGGAUAAAGGUUCAAGGAAAACACCAUCAAAUGGUUGUUAAUGGGACGGUGGAUCCACAGACUCUGCCGGUAGAUGAGAUCCCCCUGAUGGAGUCCAGACGCUGGAGGGGCCGGCUGAUGGAACUCCUUAGCCCUGAAGGACGCCAUCUCGUGAUCUCCAGAUGAGAUUCCCCCCAGAAAUAAACGUAAGUCCUACUUCGAUGGGUCCAGAGUGCGGCCUAGUGAAUCGAAACUAAACCUAUCACACAUCAUCAGUGCGUUUUGCCUGUAUGUGGGGCUUCAGUGCGCUAAUUACUCAAAUGCAUUAACAAUGACGACGGCUGUGCGACGUGACGGGUGGGUUGGAUGGGUUGGGAGGGUUCUCUGCGUCUCCAGCUUCGGGCUGAAGGGAACCACCACGGCGGUGAGAGCGUUGUUGUCGG